AAAAAAAUAUACAAUAUAUUUGUGAUCGCUUUCAGACUACUAGUAUCCCACCGUGAGGACUGGUCCGAGAACCAGUCCUAUAUUGUAAAUUGAUCUACAAAGUAGCUCUUUAAUUUAGCACAUUUCAAAGUCUUUGCUGGACUUCCAAAUGGCAACCCAUCAUAUUGCGGUGAAAAAUGGGGAUGAUGCAUAUGCUGACCCAUGUUGUCAUGGAAGUGACGAAGAAAGUUUGUCUGAGCGAUCAAAAACAGAAUUGGCUCAGGAAAAUACAGAAGGCUAUGAGAAUUCUGAUUCAGGAGAAAAUGUACUUUGGACUGAGGCAGCGCAAAGUGUUCUUGCCCUGAAAUACCGUCCUGUGGUUGUGCAAACCGCAAUCAAUUCUAUUUUACGUGAUCAUGGUGCAAAUUCUGUGUUUUCUGCCCAAGAUAUCGUAGAAGAAAUUGAGAAAUUUAAAAGACGGGAAAAUGUUUCAGACACAAGCCUGAAAGUACCUUCCUUUCCCGAGAAUAAAAUAAACGAGGCCAUACCGAAAGAACCUGAGGAGUUAAUCAAGCAGAAUGAUGAAAUGAGGAGGAGGAUGCUUUGUAAAAGUUGUGGAACACGGAAUGGAUCCAGUGUUGUUGUGGACUGUGGACACCUUAUUUGCAACGAAUGUGAAGAACAGAAAAAUAAAUGUUCGUUUUGUGAGCAUGAAAUAAAGAAAGUGAUUCCAGUUCACUUUACAGAGGGUUCUCCAUUCGAGUAAUUGAUUUGGAGACAUUUCUAAUGUUGAAAUGAGAAGCAAUAGCUGAAGUCAGCGCUCUCAAGUAUAGGAUCACCAAAGCAAAGCCGGGAAGGGUUAAUGGGUUCAAAUUGGAUGUAUGGUUAAGAUUUUUCGUCUUUGGAUUUUUUAAUGCCUCGUUCUUUAACAAAAUAUUUUCACUCUCACCUAAAUCUUUCGAGCAACAUUUAAUACAUCCAGUGAUGGGUUAUAAAAUAAGUUAAUAAUAGAUUAAGAGGGCUGGGUGGUCAUGCCUUUUUUGGGGGGGGGGGGGCUAUUUAAAGCUCAUAAAAAUGAACGUUUAGUAUGAAAACAUAUUAGGAAAUUGCAUCAAAUUUUAUAGUUUUCUUCUUUUUUUACAAUAUAUAAUGAAUACAAAAAUCGAAUUUUUAAUCUGAGGUUGAUCUUGAAGAAAAUUAACAUGACCACUCAGUCUCCUUAAAAUCUUAAAGUAUUGUUUUUAUUUUCUUAAUUUACUUUUUUUCGAAUUCUUUAAGGUAUUUUUCAUAAACACAAAUAUGGUUUCAAAAAUUGAAAUUAAAUUUUUUUUUAUAAAUAUUGAAAUUAAAAAAAAAUAUGUAGCUUAUAGGAAGAAUGGAUAUUGAUAAAUAUGCCUUGCAGAAUAGGAUUUUUGCAAAAUGGGAUAGUUAAUAUAACUGAAAUAUUUGUUGUAUGAAGGCGGAAAUACGUCCAAGAAUUAGGGUGACGUUGUAAGUCCUUAUAAAUAACGUUAUAGGUCCCCGAUGACGGUGGGACAUCUGGGUACAUGUACUCUGAGUUGUUGAAAAGAAAAUGAAAAUGCUCAAAAUAGUAAGCAUAACAAAGAAAAAAUUAGAAGAUGAACAAGGAGAUGACACUUACGUUUGUCGAGUCUUACUGUUAAGUAAGUUUGUAAGAAAAUUAAAAAUUAAAGGUGCAACUAGGUUCAGGAUAUUGAGAAUUAAACAAAAAUAUUUUUUAAACAAGUAUUCAAUGAAUUUUUAGAUUUUACUUUGGCUGCACAUUCAGUAUUCUUCAUCAAAUUUGAAGUACGUAAAUCAAAUUCAUAGUAAUUUAAAAAAAUAUAUAUUGAUGGUGAAUUGUGAGGGGGCAGUCCUGCAUAAGCAUUUUUGGAAUAAUGGAUGUAUAUAAUUACUAAGUAUAUAUGUAUCCUAAAAAGAGCACUGUCCUAAAUCUAGUUGCUGAUAUGUCAGAGAGACAUACUCGAUAAGUCAUGAAGAUAUAUAAUAAAAGCUUGCUUAGAAGCGAAGCAAGAGAAAAUAGUGACUAUAAUAAGUAUUAGAGAGGAUACUUAUGUCGCAGUAGAGUCUGCCGUCAUAUGAGUAUGAUAUGACAAUUGAAUAUUUGAAGAUUUAAACAAAAGUGGAGGUACAACUAGGUACAGGAUAACCAAAAAUAAUUUUUUUCCAAAUAAUUUUCAAUAUUUUCUUCUUUUUUUUCAUUUUUUUCUUAACUUGAUAUAUGUAUAGUUACAUACAGUAAAGACCAUUCUGAAAAUUCUUGUAGUAAAAAAAAUAAUAGAAACUUUGUUUUCUCUCUAAAAUUUUCAAAAAAUAACGAAUUUUAUCAUCUAAGAAGCGCUGCCCUAAAUCUAGUUGUUAAUACAUGUACUGAGUAUGUUGAAAAGACAUUAAAUUCAAGUACAUGUAUACAUGUAUUUUAUUUAUCGUAAUUUUAUAUAUUUAUUGUUUUUGAACUAUAAUAUCAUUUUUGAACAAAGACCAGAGAUGUUUAUACAUAAAAAUAAACCAUCAUUGUAAUUUUGUUUUUGCAAAAAAUAUUAUAAUUACCUCAUCGAAAGGUAAACCCAUUAUUUUUUCCUUUACGGUUCACAGGUGUAAGCUGUUUAUUUCGCAUUGUGGGUUUUUCGACGAAUGUAAAGGAGAUAAUAAAUUAUCAUUUUCGUGGGUUUUACCUAUGUUACAGUUUUUUAAAUAAUGUAAAUCACAGCAGUUUACUUUCUUUCAUUUGAAGAUAUGUUUCCGUUAUUAAUAAGCAACAAUUUUAACUAUGAAAGGAAGUUGCAUAACUGCAAGUUAUUGGAGAACGUUUACAUCACAAAAUUACUGGAAUUAAAGUAAACUGGUAUUAUAAACUAGUAUAAAUGUAAUUUAUAGCAGUUACGAGGGGUGUUCAAAAAGUUCGCAAACACUUUUAAAUACUUCUAUAAAAGAAUAAAAUGUUAAAAAGACAUUAAAAUAAUGUACAUGUAUACAUUUAUUUCAUUUUUUAUAAAAAUUUACAAGAUGAACAAAAAGAUGACACUUACUUUUGUCAAGUCUUAUUGUAAAGUAAGACUGUAAGAACACUGAAAACUAAAAGUGCAACUAGGUUUGGGACACUGAGAAUUAAACAAAAAUAUUCCUGGGACAACUGAAGGUUUUCAAUCAAUUUUUGGUCUUUACACUUAAUCAGUAUUAUUUUUAUUCCAGUUUUGAAGUGGAAAACUUAAUUUCAUAGUAAUUUAAAAUGUUUUAAUGGUAAAUUAUGAAUGGUAUUCCUGCAUGACUAUAUUUUUGGGAAAAAUGAAUUUAGAUAACUCUGUAUCCUAAAAGAGUACUGUCCUAAACCUAAUUGCUGAUAUGUCAGAAAGACACAUGGAGAUAAGCCAUGAAGAUAUAUUAUAUAACCUUGCUUAGAAGCGUAGCAAGAGAAAAUAGUGACUAAUAUAAGUAUUGGAGAGGAUACUUAUGUCGUAGCAGAGUCUGUAGUCAUAUGAGUAGAUAUGACGAAUGCAUAUUUGAAGAUUUAAUCAAAAGUGGAGGUACAACUAGGUUCAGGAUAACCAAAUAUAAGAUGUUUUUAAAAAAUCUCAUUUUUUUUCAAUUUUUUAUAAGUACGUAACAUACAUACAGUAAGAUUAAAAUUCUUGUUUUAAAAAUAGAAAAUUUGUUUUCUCUUUCAAAAUUUCCAAAGAAAUAGCAAUUUUUUUAUGUAAAAAGCGCUGUCCUAAAUCUAGUUGUAGAUAUGUUGAAAAGACAUAUAUACACAUAUUAAUGUAUUUACUCCUUUCAUUUUAUCUAAAUUCUACAUAUUAUUGUUAUCAUAUGUAUUAUUAUUUAUUUCCAUCAUUUUUGUGCAAAGAAAAGAUAUGUAUAUACAUAAAAGAAAUCAUCAUGACUUUCUUGCAAAAAAUUCAAGAAUGUCAUCGAAAGGUAUACCAAUUAGAUGUUUCUUUUACGGCUCAUUUUCCUGUUUAUUUUGCAUAAGUUUUUCGAAUAUUGUAAAAGUGGUGUAAUUUAUAAUUUUCGUAGAUUUUACCUUGUCAUAUUUUUUAUAUUUUAUUGCAGUUUUCUUUCUUUCAUUUGAAUUUUUUUCGUUUCGAAAUAGUAUAUGACCAAGCUGAACAAGCAACCAAUUUCAUUUAUGAAAGGAAGAUAAAUAACUGCGAUUUAUUUGAUAAUUUUUACUUUUGUCUGUAUCCUUCAUUAUGUGAUUAUACAUGUAUACUUGAAUGUAAAUACCAGUUACGAGAGUCAUCUACAUACUGACAUCAUUUUCACAUUGUGACGUCCUAACCAUGGAGCAAAACAUUGCGUAAAAUUAAAUCUGUCAUGUAUAGAACAUAAUAUGACUACAUGUGUGCCACAUUUUACCUGUAUAGAGAUAGUAGUUCGCGAACUUUUUGAUCAACCCUCGUUUAUAUCAUGAACAAUAGUAUGUUUAGCUUCCAUUGCAAUAAUAAGUGAAAAAUAAAUACAUUACAUUUAAUAAU